GUGGGGAAUAUUGCGCAAUGGGGGAAACCCUGACGCAGCGACGCCGCGUGAGCGAAGAAGGCCUUAGGGUUGUAAAGCUCUGUUUUAAGGGACGAAUGUCGUGGGGAGUAAUAUGCUCUGCGAAUGACGGUACCUUAAGAGGAAGCCCCGGCUAACUACGUGCCAGCAGCCGCGGUAAGACGUAGGGGGCGAGCGUUGUCCGGAAUUACUGGGCGUAAUGAGCACGUAGGCGGGAACUUAAGUCAGGUGUGAAAGACCGGGGCUCAACGCCGGGGUUGCACUUGAAACUGGGUUUCUUGAGGGCAGGAGAGGAAAGCAGAAUUCCUGGUGUAGCGGUGAAAUGCGUAGAAAUCAGGAGGAAUACCAGUGGCGAAGGCGGCUUUCUGGACUGACCCUGACGCUGAGGUGCGAAAGCGUGGGUAGCAAACAGGAUUAGAUACCCCUGUAGUCC
rnacentral:rRNA from 1 species